CAGGCUGGAGGUAGAAGGUGGAGUUGAGCAGCUCUUCCAGCCUGCGCGGAACGUCGUUCUCCCGGUAGUACUCCAUCGCCUGCUGCUUCAGCUUCUGCAGCUCCCUAGUGGUCCCACAGCUUUUUUUUUUUUUUUUUACGGUAGGCAUCUACGAAGUCCUUUGGAAUCAGUCACACUUGUGUUGAUUACUAAAGUGCAUCUCUUUCAAUGGGGUAUUUUUAAAUAAGCUGUAACUUUGGAUGGAUAUUACUGGAGGAAUGGAGCUGUGAUCCCUGUCAAACUGAGAAAAACAAGGGUAUGGGAAGACUCCUUUGGCUACUUAGUGCUUUGUGACUUUUGAGGAGACUUUGCAGCACGUAAUUCUAAGAAAAUUGUAGGAAACAGCAAAGAAGAGCCGGGGUCUUCGUGGGGGAGGGGAGCGAAGUCUGUGCUCAUGCAGCUUCAGUAAUGUCUGACUUGAUCCUAAACACUGCGGUUGAAAUGUUCCUUUAGAAUGAUCUUGUGCAUUCCACAAAGGCAUAAAAUAGUAAAAUCUGUUUCUUUCAGAUGGAGAGUGUUGGCGUGUACGGAUUCUGUGGGUGUAAAGCAAAGAACAAAAUGAAGUGUGAUUCAAGGUGGGAAAUAGCCGCUUCAGCUCCCCCAGGCUGCAGCAGCUACCACACAAAGAAGCAGUCCUAUGGCAAUGACAGGACAUCUGUGUCCAGGAUUUGGAUUUGACGAACUGGCAGUUCCUGCAGGGAUGACGGUACUCCCUAGUUGUGUCUGAAUUGGACGCACCAGCACUUGAGCACACACAAACGCACGUGAACAGACGGAACAUGUUAUGGGCCUGUUAGCCAAGGAAUGACAGAAUUAAUCCAUGGGCAUUUGCGGCCAGUGUUGUGUUAAACUAAAGGGAAAAAGUGAACUGGAAAAAGCAAUGUUUGUUUUAUGAAAAUCUCAGACCCAAUCCUUAGGUGACAGUUCUGGAAAUGAGGGGUGUCUAAAACAAAGGGCAUCUGAAACUUCGGUUUUUCAGCUUCCUUUCCUUGUCUCAUGACCUCUUUCCUACCCGCUGCCUCUGUUUUCUCUAAUAUGGAACAGUGAAAAUGGGGGCCAGCAAAACAGAUUGCUGAUGUCUGUUGAUUUUAUCAAAGGAAGGUUAGAUUGAGUAAGAUGGCAUAAAUAAGCACACAUAGGACAAUACCUGGCAUAUAUCAGGUGCUCAAUAGCAGUGAAUUCUCUCCCUGCUGUCAUGAAUUCUUGAAGGUUGGAGACCAUGCGCUGUUCUGCGUGCCAAGUUAUUUUUUCGGCCUGAUAGCAGGUGAGCUACUGAGUGAAGACAGAGACUGGACGCUAAUUCAGCUCUGAAUCUUCAGCACCUGGCAUGGAAGGUGCACAGGACAUAUUUGAAAAAGGAGAAUUAAUAGAAUUGACCAAUAGGCUGACCUCACCCAACACUGACAACGGCCUUAGCACAAACCCAAAAGGCUCUGCUAGAGCUCAGAGGCAGCCACGAGAUUGGGAGAGCUGGAUGACGGUUUGCUAAGAGAAUUCAAGCUGUCAGUCCUCCUGUGUAUCCUUUGGAUUCUGUUAUGCUGUUGCUUGUAGAGGGAAAAAGUUCAUGUGUCAUUUAUAUACAAGUGCCCAUUUGACAUUGAGUGAGUCACAUUUAUUUUACCCUAUAUGAACACAAAAUCUCUGUUUUAAAAUCAGAUUCUAGAACUUUAAAAGGGUUCUUAUGUAUUGUUCUGAAGUAACUCAGUGGCUCUUGGUGAGCCCGCCCCACCUGGCCGACCAGCUUGGACUUGUGACCUGUGCAGUCACACAAGGCCCUGCACGUGGUUUAAUGCUCCGCUGUCACCAUCUUGAAAUUCUUAAUACCUUGAACGAGGGGUCCUGUAUUUUUGUUUCAUGCUGGGCCCAGCAAAUUACAUAGGUGGUCCUCCCUUUGGGGUUCUGCAAGGCAACUAACUGUGAAGCAUGCAUCGAGUUACAGUUUUAAAUCUUAACAUGACUUCAUCUGUUAUGGCCUACCCAGGACAGUGCAGGAAGCUGGGUGCCCUUUAAGAAAGGAGUCUGGGCUGAAGGAGAUGGAGAGGUAGGAAGGGUUGGGGUCCUGAAUGCCAGCUUUGCCAGGGCCAUGCCUCGCAGCCAUGUCCUUCCUGCCUGUCUACCACAGGCCAGGAGGUGAACAGUCAUUCUGUAAUUCACAUGCAGUAAAGCUUUUUGAGAGUUCUGUUUUUCACCUGGAACUGCCAAGUCAUUUGGUGAAGAUUUCCUGCUUGUUUGAAGUCUGCAGAGAAA
rnacentral:lncRNA from 1 species